AUACGUAGGGGGCGAGCGUUGUCCGGAAUGAUUGGGCGUAAAGGGCGCGUAGGCGGCUUUGCAAGUCAGUAGUGGAAGUCCAUUUUUCAAGGAUGGAAGUGCUACAGAAACUGCGGAGCUUGAGUGCAGGAGAGGUUAUCGGAAUUCCCGGUGUAGCGGUGAAAUGCGUAGAGAUCGGGAGGAACACCAGUGGCGAAGGCGGGUGACUGGACUGCAACUGACGCUGAGGCGCGAAAGUGUGGGGAGCAAACAGGAUUAGAUACCCUGGUAGUCCACACUGUAAACGAUGAAUGCUAGGUGUAGGAGGUAUCGACCCCUUCUGUGCCGCAGUAAACACAGUAAGCAUUCCGCCUGGGGAGUACGGUCGCAAGAUUAAAACUCAAAUGAAUUGACGGGG
rnacentral:rRNA from 1 species